CUUGGCUGUCGACGCUGGCGCUCAGGAGUCCCCAAAAAAACCCAUGCCAUUUUCACGCCGUCCCAGCAUGCAUCGCGUGAGCGCCGCCGUUUGCAUCACCGGCGAAACGAGCCUCUCGGCGCUUCCCUCCAGGGCGACCGAAUGACCUUACCGCCGCAACCGCUUUGACCCACUUCCUGGUUGGCCUGAGGAAGGUAUUCCUCGAAAAGCCAGUUGAGGAUCUAGUGCGCAUAAAUGUGAUUCGCUGCGUGCGGCUUGUUUCAGGGGAAUGGAUCCCGGAUAAUCUUUAGUCUUUCUGUUGAGUUAUCUGUAAGAAAAAAAAAGAAAAAAAAAGCUAGUUAGCACUUGUCUCUGGAGGUAAUGAGCACAUCAGUGCCACACUCACACAGUGUGCUGUUUGAACAAUGAACAGCAGGUGUGCAAUGAUGUGGUCUUGAUAACCUGCAGUAACCCGCGAACACCAGUAGAGGGAGGCAGUCUGCAAAUGACCAUGGCCAGGACCCUGGAGCCGAACUCUGCGCUGCACCCUAUUUCUUACGGUCUCUGGUUGCACCACGGUAACUCAGUCUGCUAUAAUGGAGCUGUUGCGUUUUGGGUUUAAAGCGUAGGUUUGUAAUGAUGUACCCAUCUCUUAUACUUCAGACUAUUCAUUUACUGGCUUUCGUUUUCUGGUGACGGUGAAGCCGUGUGUAAAUCUGAGGGCUGUGUUCUGUUCUGUGACCCCUCAGCAGACUGUGGCCUCUUAUUCCUCUUGUGCAGAUGCGCUGCUGGCAGAAAGCAACCCUCAAGUCACGCCAUUCCAAGUUCUUUAUUUGUGAAGAAGCAAGUCCCAAAUGAAAGCCAUCCCAGGCCACGGUCCAAUCACACACCAGCUGGUCACGUUCGUGCAACUGGAUAAACAGAGCCCCCUACUGCGUUGCGUACGCCGCUCCGUGCUGUUUCAUCAAUAACCCGUUUCUGAACCCAUCUUCAGAUUCCAUUUUCGGAUACCGUCGAGUCUCUUAAAAGCCAUUUACAUGCGCAGGCUUGGAAGAGGCAAACCACCAUGACACUCCAUAAUCUCCAUGGAGGUGGCUGAUAAGCCUCUAGCUCUUGGUUAUCAGCUUUCGAGAGAAGUUUCCCUUCAGCAGAACAGGACUGGCCAGAUUCAGGGAGGGGAACUGCAGACCCAAGACCCAGCUGACAGUUGGAUGAUUCAUUAAUGCAAGGCAGGCCUUGGAAGGUAGGCAGCUUUCAAAUCGAAAAACCUGAACAGAGUCUACAUGUACAUGUCAUUACUGUAGACUCAGCCUUCUUCACAGUGCUAGAAUUUUUUUUAAAUGCCCCAUGCCUAAUGAGUUAAAUCACAAAUAAAAUCCCAAAACUUUCUUACGCAGGACCCUUUGUUUAGUAACUUAUCCCAAAGUCGUUGUCGUGUUACAGAUCUAAUGCUUUGUAAACAUUCUUUUGAAAGAGCCACACAAUGAACCAUGUGAAAAACAGCAGUGAACUUGAAAGACAAGCUCGGGCGCAAUGGGCCCAUGUAAAACCUGUCAGAUUUGUCAAACGAUGCGUACGCGAGUGGGUAACGUUGUUUUCGUUUCAUUAUAGCGCUCCCAUGGAAACCUGGUCCCCUUGGAAACCAGGCGGAUUUGCUCGGAUUUACACCCGGCAGUUAGGGUUAGGGUUCGGGUCCUAUUGGGCCCAGGAGGCCUAUUUUCAGUUUUUCUCAAUGGAUUGUGCCGUUCGCUUCCGUUUAAUGUUUACCUAUGUUGUAUCAGUGACAACGACAACAAGAAUCUUAUAAUAAGGACGUCAUGUAGGCAUGAUUGCAUGUGCUAGUUAUGGAUUCAUAACUCUCAGGUUCUCUUUGUGUGUGUGUGUGCGUGUGUGAGGUCUCUGGUGCUGUGUAUGUACAAUGCCUUCAUACCCAUAAAUAAUUUUAAUAUUUUCGCUAAUCUAUAGCGAUGUCUGGUCAAAGUGUUGACUUAGCAAAAUAUACAGCUACUGCAGAAUGUUAUUUCCGAGC